GUGGAAAAAAAUGUCAGUAACUUCAGCUUCUGCAAAUCUCUAGUUUUGGAUAUUGGCUGUUAUCACCAAUAACCUAUGGUUCAGCUUGGGAUCUCAAGCAAAUACAAGCCAGCAAUGUUCCCCACGGCCAAGACAGACCCCCCCCAAAAGAUCUGCUACUUCCACUGCCUGGAAAUGGAGGACCUUUCCUUCUGCUGGGGGAAUCCAGGUCUGAAGCAUGGAUGCAGGUGCUGUGCAGCAGGUGCUCCUGGGUCCAGCACUUCCAGGGUUGAGCAGCUCGGCUGAGCAGCUGGUGUGUAUAUGACCAGCCUGUGCACGUCUAAAUCAUACAGCCAUUGCCCGUGUGUGAAAGGAGUAACUAUAGUUGGGGGUUUUGGACAUUCAUCACAAGACUGCAAAGUUUUGACAAGUCCUUAAGAAAUGCAGCACAUACAUAUAAACAUAUGUAUGUAUGUGUGGAGCCCCUGUAGCUGAGCUGCUCUGAGCUCUACCCUCCCAAACAGAAUCAGCAGCUCGCAAGGACCCUGGAGUCACACAGAAAACCUGCAGUUAUCACAAUUGCUAUGCACAGACAUGUCAGGUUCACCAGUACCGAUGUGGAAAUAUGUUGCAUGACUGUUGCAAACCCACCUGAAGAUGGUGGGCUGGAAAAUAUUAGAGGCACAAGAAAUGAAGGUUCUGCUGCAGCCCUGAAGUCCCCUGAAGUCAAGUGAAAGACGAAAUGGAGUAUGCUGAUGUUGCUUUUACCACUACAAGACAUUUGUGAGGCAAAAGACUGUAAAGAAAAAAGUGUAUCCCGAGGAAGGGGAGCAUUUGACAUAUAGCUGAUCAUCACACAUCCGUCUCUUCUGUGCUAGCGUUGUAUAUAUUAAAGAAGAGUCCUUCAUGGUGCUAUUUUUCCACAAGUUGUCUGCAAAUGCUCAUAGCUAACUCUGUAAAUCCUUCUUACAUGGUAAGUUAUGGUCAUUAUUAAAUACAAGACGUCACCUCUGGCAGAGAGCUCCUAACCCAAAGAUUGUUCAAGAUCUGGAGAUUAUUCUGGGUACAUGUUGUGACAUGAGCUCUCUCUUCCACACACAAAUAUCCUGGGCCACUGCUGAAGACAUGAUACUUUGGGGUGGCUGGGCCUUUGAUCUAGUGCAGAAUUGUUCUUCCUCAUGCUUUUAAAUGCUCCAGUAAAUGUAGCACCACUAACUCAGCGUACUGUGAGAUCAGGAAACCAUGAAGCCCAUUAAAACACAACUGGAACCAAGAAGGGAAGCAGGAGCCAGUUGUGUGUCCCAACAAAAGCCAACGCUGAAGGAAGAGCACAUACAGGCAUGGCGCUCCAGCCUGGGCAGUCUAAAGUAAGAGUGUUUCUGCAAUGGCUUUAAGAAAGUUGUGUUUGUAGAGUGCCUAGCUCACUGAGGUCAUGGUUACAACCUGUAAAUGCUGUUAAAUCGCCAUUAAAUCUCA